GACUUCCCUUCCGCCCGCGCAACCCACCCUCCGCGAGUGGAGGGGUGGACACCUGCUCAACAGAGAAUUCGAUUUUGCAAACAUUUAUUGAGCGCCCUCCAGGUGCCAGGCGCUGUGCCAGGGGCCGGGGCUUCAAAGACGACCAAGGCACAGAUCCUGGGUUUGAAGAUCUCCAGAGGUGGGGCGGGGGGCCGGUCGGAUGCGAGGGCAACUCGCUGUAACAAUGCAACGCGCUGGGAAAGAUUUAUCGGUGCACGCUGCCCUGGGGACGCGGAGCAGGGGAGGAGAAGUCAGGCUGGAGAGGAGGGGGACUCCAUUCUGCCCGGCUGCAGGGGAGUGAGGCUACAUAGCAGAGGCGAGCAGCAUCCAGGGGCUUUACUGGAAAAAGAGCUCUGAAAUGGCCAUGACGAUAACUGACUUAUAUUGUGCUGUCUCCAUGCCCAGGUACUCCUCAGAUCACUUCCCUUCACAGUAGUUCCUGAUAUCAAGACCAUUCUUAUUUUGGUUCUGCAAUUGAGGAAACUGAGGUUCCUGGUGAAAGAAUGUGUAUAGGGGAGAGCAUAGGAACUGCUGGGGAGAAGAGACUUUACCAAGCAUGCUCUGGAAAAAAAGAGAAUGCCAACGAUCCUUGAAGAGGUGACAGAGAGAAUCUGCUUCAGGCUACAGGAGGAUUCAAGUCUGCGAUGGAGAAACCACCAAUUCACUUUUUCAAAUGCCAAAACAACUCCGCAGGCGUGGAGGAGACCUAUCUUGCAGCGCUGUAGGCCCAAGGCACCAGGGAAUCCGGUCCAGCUCAGCCCUACAGCUUUGCUCAGCCCCGUCUGCACCGCCGCCCCGUGGCCAAGGGCAGUACUGCGUCCUCCAAAAGGCAAGGGCGGAGGAGGGGCCAGGGGCCUUGCCCCAGGGGC
rnacentral:lncRNA from 1 species